GCACGUAGUUAGCCGGUGCUUCUUCUGUAGGUACCGUCAGUAGUCACAAGUAUUAGUCGUAACCGUUUCGUUCCCACCGAAAGAGCUUUACAACCCGAAGGCCUUCUUCACUCACGCGGCAUGGCUGGAUCAGGGUUGCCCCCAUUGUCCAAAAUUCCCCACUGCUGCCUCCCGUAGGAGUCUGGGCCGUGUCUCAGUCCCAGUGUGGCUGAUCAUCCUCUCAGACCAGCUACCGAUCGUCGCCUUGGUGGGCCUUUACCCCGCCAACUAGCUAAUCGGACAUCGGCCGCUCCAAUCGCGCAAGGCCUUGCGGUCCCCUGCUUUGCUGUCUCCAGAUCAUGCGGUAUUAGCUCACCUUUCGGUGGGUUAUCCCCCACAACAGGACACGUUCCGAUGUAUUACUCACCCGUUCGCCACUCGCCACCAGGGUUGCCCCCGUGCUGCCGUUCGACUUGCAUGUGUAAGGCAUGCCGCCAGCGUUCAAU
rnacentral:rRNA from 1 species